rnacentral:rRNA from 1 species
UGAAAAGAGGGUUAAACAGCACGUGAAAUUGUUAAAAGGGAAGCGCUUGUGACCAGACUUGCGUCCGGUGAAUCACCCAGCUCUCGCGGCUGGGGCACUUCGCCGGCACAGGCCAGCAUCAGCUUGCCGUCGGGGACAAAAGCUUCAGGAACGUGGCUCCUCUCGGGGAGUGUUAUAGCCUGUUGCAUAAUACCCUUCGGCGGGCUGAGGUACGCGCUCCGCAAGGAUGCUGGCGUAAUGGUCAUCAGCGACCCGUCUUGAAACACGGACCAAGGAGUCAACCUUAUGUGCGAGUGUUUGGGUGUCAAACCCCUACGCGUAAUGAAAGUGAACGCAGGUGAGAGCUUCGGCGCAUCAUCGACCGAUCCUGAUGUUCUCGGAUGGAUUUGAGUAAGAGCAUAUAGGGUUGGACCCGAAAGAAGGUGAACUAUGCGUGUGUAGGGUGAAGCCAGAGGAAACUCUGGUGGAGGCUCGCAGCGGUUCUGACGUGCAAAUCGAUCGUCAAACAUGCGCAUGGGGGCGAAAGACUAAUCGAACCUUCUAGUAGCUGGUUUCCGCCGAAGUUUCCCUCAGGAUAGCAGUGUUGAGCUCAGUUUUAUGAGGUAAAGCGAAUGAUUAGGGACUCGGGGGCUAUUUUUUGCCUUCAUCCAUUCUCAAACUUUAAAUAUGUAAGAAGCCCUUGUUACUUAGUUGAACGUGGGCAUUCGAAUGUAUCAACACUAGUGGGCCAUUUUUGGUAAGCAGAACUGGCGAUGCGGGAUGAACCGAACGCGAGGUUAAGGUGCCAGAGUAGUCGCUCAUCAGAC